GCGCACUUAGCUUAGUGGUUAAAGCAUCACUCAUGAAUUUUGAGGUCAUGGGUUCAACUCCCAUAGUGCACA
rnacentral:tRNA from 1 species